GAUGAACGCUGGCGGCGUGCUUAAUACAUGCAAGUCGAACGCAAGCGAUCACUUCGGUGGUCAAUUGAGUGGCGAACGGGUGAGUAAUACAUAAGGAACCUGCCCGUCUGACUGGGAUAACAGUUGGAAACGACUGCUAAUACCGGAUAGGUAACCUUAAGGCAUCUUGAGGUUAUUAAAGUUGAGAUACACAGACGGAUGGCCUUAUGGCGCAUUAGCUAGUUGGUGAGGUAACGGCCCACCAAGGCGAUGAUGCGUAGCCGACCUGAGAGGGUGACCGGCCACAUUGGGACUGAGACACGGCCCAGACUCC
rnacentral:rRNA from 1 species